CUUCCCUUUGGAAUUCCCUGAUUAGGCAGGCUCCUUUGCUGCAUUGCAAAUUGUUGGUGCCGGCUAAAAACAUUUUUGUUCCGGUAGGCAAUCCAUGGCCCAUAAGCCUGUUGCCCAACAGAUGCCCCUAUCUGCCUACUGCCACCAAAAUUGCUGCUGCUGCAUUUGCUGGUGCCAUUGAAGUCCAAUAACUGCUGCCCUGCUGCCCAGUAUUCACCACCUAACUUCAUUCUGAUGUUGUCUUGCAUUCAGCACUGAUAUUGCCAAUCACUGGUUGACGUCCUGCUUCCAUAGACCCACCAGGUGCAGGGUGGUGGUGGCAGGAAGCAGUUGGAGGACAGAGAUGCUGUUUACAAACCUGCUUUUGAUGACAACAAUAAAGAGAAAGCAAUUGAGUCAACCUGGAGUAGCUUUUGAAAGACUGUAACAGAAACAUAACAUGAAAAUGUACACUUAACUUGCUCAUUCUGCCCUGAGCCACUGCUCAGCUGGUCCAAUAAAAAGUCCCUGCAUGAUUUCAUUGGGCUUUAUUCUGCCGCUGCUUGAGUCAAUGGCACAGACUUUGUUCUAAUCGGUAAAAUCAAUGAAGGUUUGUGAGUUAACUCUCAUACACAACAUGAAGAUUGUAUUUUUGCCUCUGGUGCAGCUGUUUAUUAAACCUGUGAAUCAAGUUGAUAUAGUAUGUAUAACAUAGAAAGCAGUCAUUUGCAUACAUACCAAUAUUAUUUUUUCUCUAUCAGCCGGCUGUAUAUUUAUCU